GCCGAUGUAGCUCAGUGGCAGAGCAGCGGUUUCGUAAACCGCAGGUCUGCGGUUCAAACCCGCACAUCGGCUCCA
rnacentral:tRNA from 1 species